rnacentral:rRNA from 1 species
UAGCUAGUUGGUGAGGUAACGGCUUACCAAGGCGACGAUCUGUAGCGGGUCUGAGAGGAUGAUCCGCCACACUGGAACUGAGACACGGUCCAGACUCCUACGGGAGGCAGCAGUGGGGAAUUUUGGACAAUGGGGGCAACCCUGAUCCAGCCAUGCCGCGUGAGUGAAGAAGGCCUUCGGGUUGUAAAGCUCUUUCGGCCGGGAAGAAAUCGCAUGGGCCAAUACCCUGUGUGGAUGACGGUACCGGAAUAAGAAGCACCGGCUAACUACGUGCCAGCAGCCGCGGUAAUACGUAGGGUGCGGGCGUUAAUCGGAAUUACUGGGCGUAAAGCGUGCGCAGGCGGUUUUGUAAGACAGGCGUGAAAUCCCCGGGCUCAACCUGGGAACUGCGUUUGUGACUGCAAGGCUAGAGUACGGCAGAGGGGGGUGGAAUUCCACGUGUAGCAGUGAAAUGCGUAGAGAUGUGGAGGAACACCAAUGGCGAAGGCAGCCCCCUGGGUCGAUACUGACGCUCAUGCGCGAAAGCGUGGGUAGCAAACAGGAUUAGAUACCCUGGUAGUCCACGCCCUAAACUAUGUCAACUAGGUGUUGGGUGGGUAAAACCAUUUAGUACCGUAGCUAACGCGUGAAGUUGACCGCCUGGGGAGUACGGCCGCAAGGUUAAAACUCAAAGGAAUUGACGGGGACCCGCACAAGCGGUGGAUGAUGUGGAUUAAUUCGAUGCAACGCGAAAAACCUUACCUACCCUUGACAUGCCAGGAACUUGCCAGAGAUGGCUUGGUGCCCGAAAGGGAGCCUGGACACAGGUGCUGCAUGGCUGUCGUCAGCUCGUGUCGUGAGAUGUUGGGUUAAGUCCCGCAACGAGCGCAACCCUUGUCGUUAAUUGCCAUCAUUUAGUUGGGCACUUUAGCGAGACUGCCGGUGACAAACCGGAGGAAGGUGGGGAUGACGUCAAGUCCUCAUGGCUCUUAUGGGUAGGGCUUCACACGUCAUACAAUGGUCGGUACAAAGGGUCGCCAAGCCGCGAGGUGGAGCCAAUCCCAGAAAGCCGAUCGUAGUCCGGAUUGCAGGCUGCAACUCGCCUGCAUGAAGUCGGAAUCGCUAGUAAUCGUGGAUCAGCAUGUCACGGUGAAUACGUUCCCGGGUCUUGUACACACCGCCCGUCACACCAUGGGAGCGGGUUCCGCCAGAAGUAGGUAGCCUAACCGCAAGGAGGGCGCUUACCACGGCGGGGUUCGUGGCUGGGGUGAAGUCGUAACAAGGUAGCCGUAGGGGAACCUGCGGCUG